rnacentral:rRNA from 1 species
CUUGUUGCUUCGGCGGGCCCGCCUUAACUGGCCGCCGGGGGGCUUACGUCCCCGGGCCCGCGCCCGCCGAAGACACCCUCGAACUCUGUCUGAAGAUUGUAGUCUGAGUGAAAAUAUAAAUUAUUUAAAACUUUCAACAACGGAUCUCUUGGUUCCGGCAUCGAUGAAGAACGCAGCGAAAUGCGAUACGUAAUGUGAAUUGCAAAUUCAGUGAAUCAUCGAGUCUUUGAACGCACAUUGCGCCCCCUGGUAUUCCGGGGGGCAUGCCUGUCCGAGCGUCAUUGCUGCCCUCAAGCACGGCUUGUGUGUUGGGCCCCGUCUCCGAUCCCGGGGGACGGGCCCGAAAGGCAGCGGCGGCACCGCGUCCGGUCCUCGAGCGUAUGGGGCUUUGUCACCCGCUCUGUAGGCCCGGCCGGCGCUUGCCGAUCAACCCAAAUUUUUAUCCAGGUUGACCUCGGAUCAGGUAGGGAUACCCGCUGAACUUAAGCAUAUCAAU